rnacentral:lncRNA from 10 species
UGGAAUACUAUGCAGCCAUAAAAAAGAAUGAGAUCAUGUCUUCUGUGGGAACCGGGAUGAAGCUGGAGGCCAUUAUCCUUAGCAAACUAAUGCAAGAACAGAAAACCAAAUGCCACAUGUUCUCACUUGUAAGUGGAAGCUAAAAGAUAAGAACUCAUGAACUCAAAGAGGGGAACCACACAGACACUGGGGCCUACUUGAGGGUGGAGGAUGGGAAGAGGGAGAGGAGCAGAAAAAAAUAACUCUUGCGUACUAGGUUUAGUACCUAGGUGAUGAAAUAAUCUGUACAACAAACCCCCGUGACAUGAGUCAUAUGUAGCAAACCUGCACAUGUACACUUGAACCUAAAAGUUAAAAAAAGAAGAAACAUCACUUCUGUAGUAUUCUUGCCAAAAAUGCAUACUCUAAUUAAGAGGAAACAUUAGCCAAAUCCAAACUGAGGGCCAUUCUACAAAACAAAUGGCCAGUGCUCUUCAAAAAUGUCAAUGUUAUGAAAGAUUAUAAAGACAGAGAGCCCGGGUGCGGUGGCUCAUGCCUGUAAUCACAGCACGUUGAGAGGCUGAGGCAGUUGGAUCACUUGAGGUCAGGAGUUUGAGACCCAGCCUGGGCAACAUGGCAAACCCUGACUCUACCAAAAAUUAGCUGGGCAUGGUGUCGCACAACUGUGGUCCUAGCUACCCGGGAGGCUGAGGUGGGAGGAUUGCUGGAGUCUAGGAAGUUGAGGCUGCAGUGAGCCGAUUGCACCACUACACUCCAGCCUGGGUGACAAAGUGAAACCCUGUCUCAAAAAAACAAAAAAGUAAAGAUGGCUUGUCUGAUGGUAGUGGGUUAUCAGAACUUAUUAUUAAUAACAUUAGUGUCACUAAAGUUGGUAUACAACCCCCUAUUGCUAAAUUUGGCUUUAAAAAAAAAGAGAAAGAAAUUGUUCCAGAUUAAUGGAGAGUAAACAGACAUGGAUAUUAAAUGUAUUGCAUAGUGCUAAAAGGGAUAACGGCCAGAAAAAAAAAUUUACAUAAAUGACAUUGUUGGGACAAUUGGUAAAAUCUGAAUAAGAACUGCAUAUUAAAUAUAACAUUGAAUCAAUCUUAAAUUUUCUGAUUUCUGAUUUUCUGGAUACAUAAAACAAUAUCCUUGUUUUUAGGAAAUACAGAAAUAUUUUUGGGUAAAGGGACACGAUGUCUGCAAAUUACUCUCAAAUUGUUAAGCAAAACAUAAUGUAUUUGUAGUAUAUAUGGAAAUAAAAAUAUAAAUGUGAUAAAAUGAUAAUAAUUGGUGUAAUUGGUCAAUCUGGGUGAAAAAGUAUACAGGAAUUUUUUGUAGCAUUCUUGGGAUUUUUCUGCAAAUCUGAAAUUAUUAAAAACAAAAUUUUUAUUUUAAUUUUAUUGUCCCCCAGGCUGGAGUGCAGUGGCACCAUCUCGGCUCACUGCAACCUCCACCUCCCGGGUUUAAGCGAUUCUCCUGCCUCAGCCUCCCUAGUAGCUGGGAUUACAGGCGUGAGCCACCACGCACUG